rnacentral:rRNA from 1 species
UACAGGGGGUGCAAACGUUGCUCGGAAUCAUUGGGCGUAAAGCGCACGUAGGCGGUUCGUUAUGUCGGAUGUGAAAGCCCUUGGCUUAACCGAGGAAGUGCAUCCGAAACUGGCGAGCUAGAGUACUAAAGAGGAUCGCGGAAUUCCCGGUGUAGAGGUGAAAUUCGUAGAUAUCAGGAGGAACACCGGUGGCGAAGGCGGGUCUCUGGGCCGAUACUGACGCUGAGGAGCGAAAGCGUGGGGAGCGAACAGG